rnacentral:rRNA from 1 species
UACGUAGGGGGCAAGCGUUGUCCGGAAUCAUUGGGCGUAAAGCGCGUGUAGGCGGCCCGGUAAGUCCGCUGUGAAAGUCGGGGGCUCAACCCUCGGAUGCCGGUGGAUACUGUCGGGCUAGAGUGCGGGAGAGGCGAGUGGAAUUCCUGGUGUAGCGGUGAAAUGCGCAGAUAUCAGGAGGAACACCAAUUGCGAAGGCAGCUCGCUGGAACGUUACUGACGCUGAGACGCGAAAGCGUGGGGAGCGAACAGG